UUAUCAGUAGACUAUCAUAUUUCGAAUGCGAAAUGUUGUCAAUAACGCGGUGUCUAACUCGCUAUUAGUGAUAAGCUGCUGUGUAGCUUAGCUUAGCUUAUAGCUAAUGUUAAAGGUUUGAAAGAUAGCAUUGUCAGCCUGUUAUAUCGAAUUAGUACACCCGAUUGUUUUGUUAAAUAUAUGUAUUGGUGUGUAUGUAUAUGUUAAUGAAAAAAGGUAACGUCAGAAAAUCUGUUUUUUAAAUGUAGCGUGAAAGUUAACCAUUUAUUGACUGUUUAGAGGUUGUAAGGCUUUUACCUAAGUUAACUGUAUUUAGUAUUAAUGAUGCUGCAUUCUUUCCUCAGAAGCUAAAGUUUUUCAAAGACAUUUGUAGGGAGGACUUUGCAGCUAAUGGAGCUGAAGUAUUUUAUGUAAGGAGGAUUUUGCAGCCCAUAUAGAUUUCCUUAGGCUGAACCAAAACCUGCCAGACUAAAGUUGAUUUGGGAGAGAAAGACGUUGUAAACUCAAUCAUCUUGAAAUUCUUCAAUGAGUAAUUGUUCAAUUUUUAGGCAAAUACUGUACACUUUGAAAACUGUGAAUAAAACUAUAUUUUAAAUAUAUUUAAAAUGAAUUGUUUU